UGCCAGCCGCCGCGGUAAUACGGAGGGGGUUAGCGUUGUUCGGAAUUACUGGGCGUAAAGCGCGCGUAGGCGGAUUGGAAAGUUAGAGGUGAAAUCCCAGGGCUCAACCCUGGAACUGCCUUUAAAACUCCCAGUCUUGAGUUCGAGAGAGGUGAGUGGAAUUCCGAGUGUAGAGGUGAAAUUCGCAGAUAUUCGGUGGAACACCAGUGGCGAAGGCGACUAACUGGACUGAUACUGACGCUGAGGUGCGAAAGUGUGGGGAGCAAACAGGAUUAGAUA
rnacentral:rRNA from 1 species